AAUAUACAGGCAUAUAAUAUAUACGAAUAUAAUCUGUGAUCCAGGUAAAAACUAAGUUAGUUAAACUAUAAUAGAAUAUUGGUAACGCACUGAAGCGCACGAGCGUGGGUAUUUAGUAAGUUGUUACUACAAUAGUUACGAUUGAGGCAAACUUAAACAAUUUACUUAACGUAGGGGGGUGCUAAAUUUGUUGAACUAAGUAUCUAUUAGAUAGGUAGGUGUUUUUUCGGGCAGUAUAAAAUAUGUGAUGUACAAAUGUGCAUUAGAUUUUUUAAAUAUAGUUGUGUAAACUUGUGUUAUCCAAGUCGAUAUUUGAUUAACUGUUUUUUUUCUGAAUAAUGAGAGCGAAUAAUCAAAGCGCGUUUGAUAAAUGCUGUACGGAAACACUAAACAUCUUUACAUCUCCUAUUAUUGGCGGAACGACCUGAGUACCUGACCAAACCACUCUAUCGUUGCGUUGUUGUCAAGACGCACAGGUAAAUUUCUAAAAUUAUACCGAGAAACAGUGAUCCCCAAAAUAGUCUGAAAUCCAUGACGAUUCAUCCAAUUAGCAUAGUAAUAUUAAUACCCAAUAGAUAUUUUGGUAAUCCACGGCUAAAAUUGAUUCCCUCUCCAAUAAAUGCGAAGAUUUCUAGACACCAUAUCUGCCGUUCACCAAUAUAGAGUCAGUCUGUUACAGACACGAGACAUCUACUAUACCUUUACGUUAGCCUUGCCUUCUCUCCCUCUCCGUGUUUCACUAUCCUCAUAUUUCGCUCAACAUUAUUUACGCUUUACACAGUCGUUUAAUUUUUUUUAAUUUUUCGUUUAUUCCUUAAACAAUUUAAAUAUGUUUCAAUGCGUACAGUGCCCGUCGGUAUUCCCGCAUAAAAACGGUUUGCUCAGAUAUGGGAAAACUCAUACCGGUAUGCGUUUUCCAUACAACACGACGUAUGCAAUAUGCAUUAAAUCAUUCAAUGAUAAGUCCGACCUCAACAAACGUCUGAAAAACAUUCGUGAUAUGUACCUACCUAUUGUCAACUUUCAGGCUUAUCGCUAACCUGCUACACCGAUUGUUCAACAGAGUGUUAUAGGUACUGUUAUCCAGUUAGUAACUGGUAUUGUCCAACCCACGGACUAAGAUAUAUCUAAGGUAUAUCUUAGUCCGUAGUCCAACCUGAUCAACAACAGAUUAAUAUACACAUUGCCCCGGAAAUAUUUGUCCCCGAUAUCCCGGCCGGUAGAUCUAAUUCGGUAUACGACGACAUGUGUAUGAUUUCAAUGAAAAUCAGGACGUUAUUACAGAACAUUUUUCUACGUGCAGUAGUCGACAAAGAGAAGACCAAUUAUUUCGAUUUAUUUUUGGUAGCAGACGACAAUGGAUCAUACUAUACAUACAUAUCCAAUUUUUCCCGGCUCAUACGCGCACAGAAAACAGGACAUAGGGAGAGAGUUGUGUUUUGUAAGAGGUGCUUCACGUCGUUCGACGAUAGACGUCAUAAAUAUAAGCUGAGUGUACAGGCAGCGUUGGAGCACAAACCUAUAUUACCGGACAUUUUUAAAGAGGGUGAGUGUGCCGAAUCUGUGCGUGGAGAAAAACUAAAAACGUGGAGAAAACGCAGAAACGCCCCAUUGUAAUUUACCCAAAUUUUGAGACGUUGCUGAUGAAGACGGACGAGGAGAAGGGGAAAAACCCAGCAAUUAUCCAUAAACAUGAGGCAAUGAGCUAUGGACUCAUUGUGAAGGCGAGCGAAGAUGUACCGGCAGAGUUAAUGGAGGAGUAUGAAAUACCUACUGAACCUAUAAUACACCGAGGAAGCGAGAGUCGGUUGGAUGUAGCGAGACAUUUCGUGGAGACCGUCACCAAAAUACCAUUGAAGAUCGAAAAAUUACUGAAGACAAAUAUAGGUACAAAUAAACAUAACCGUGGAUGACGUCCAGGCCCACGAAGUAGCGACACUCUGCAAUCUCUGCCAUAUACAGUUCACCCCACCGUCAGAAUUAUUUCACCCUAAGACAGCUGACCAUUGCCAUUUAUCAGGAAAAUAUCGACAAGUUCUAUGCAAAUGUAUGCAACCAAAAACUCCUAACACCAAACUUUGUGCCGAUAUUUUUACACAACUUAUCUAACUAUGACGCGCACCUGAUAGUGAAAGAACUUGGUCAUGAUACCCAGGCUAUUACCGUUAUUCCAAACAGUGAGGACAAAUUUAUUUCAUUUGCGAAAUAUGCGACAAUAAACAUAUUCACUUUGAGAUUUAUUAACACUUUCUGAUUCAUGGCUUCGAACCUAUCUAUUAUCUUCACUCUCCAAAAAUGUAAUCACACCUCAACUAGAAAAUUUCGGAGAGACCGUCAAAGUGUUUUCCAGUGAAGAUAAUAAUGCCACUUGUAACUUGGAAGGGUGUGUAUCCUUACGAGUAUACGGACAGUUGGAUCAGGUUGGACGAGACGAGAUAACCGAGUAAGAGAGAUUUUUACAGCACAUUAACUGAGUUGAGGAUAAAGUAAGAAGAGUUUGAACACGCGGAGGAGGUUUGGGACCAAUUCGCGUGUCAAACACUCGGCGAGUUCAGUGAUUUGUACAUGAAAAUCGACGUGUUGCUGUUGGCAGGCGUUUUUGAAAACUUCCAUGACCUAUGCAUGUCGUCAUGUCGACUUACAAUUUGGACGCUGCACACUACUUCACCGCACCGGGUUUAAGUUUUGAUGCAAUGUUGAAGUAUACCGUGCCAAAGUUGCAGUUGUUGAAUGAUUACAGCAUGUUGCUGAUGUUUGAAAAUUGUCAGUAUAUUAUUUGUAUGAAAAGAUGAAGAUAGAGCUAGUGUCGUAUGAGAGGAGACUGCAAAAACUAAUUAAUAAGUGUACAUUCAAGCACUGUAUACUAUGUACAAUGAUAAUCUCAAUGCUGUAGCGCUUGAGAAUAAAAUAAUUAAAUUUGAUAAACCAAUCUAUAUUGGAUUUGCUGUACUUGAUAUAGGUAUCAAAAACAAAAAUGUACGACUAAUACUACAAUGUGAAACACUAUUGAGACAAAAUUAAACUCAUGUAUACUGACACAGGUGACAGAUUCUUUGAUAUAUCGUAUUAAGACGGAGGAUGUCUAUGGAUACUUGGCGGUUAACCAUAGCUUGUUGGACCAGAUAUACACUGCUAACCUGCCUAGUGUCCAUCCUUGUUAUGUAGCAGGGAAAAAAAAGGAGCAGGGGUAUUUUUCUGAUGAGGUGGACGGUAAUAUAAUUACAGAUUUUUGUGCACUGCGUGCCAAAUCGUAUGCCUUCAACGUUUAUGUAGGACCAGAGGAUGAGAAGAAAGAUGAAGAGAACAGAAUAGGAGGAGAGAAGAUCAAAGCGUAGGUGAUUAGGUCUCAUGUGGUUAAAACUCACAUAACUCUUGAAGACAACAGAAAGUGUUUGUUUGUUGAAGCUGGAAUAGAGACUAUCACUGAUAAUGUUUCUAUACGGUCAUUCAAUCAUAAACUCAUGACUAUAAAAACAAUGAAAUUAACUUAAAACAACUAUGAUGCAAGAGGGUGGUGCUAGAUACAAACAUUAGCCCCAUGGGCGUUAUAGUUUGUACUAUAAAUUACUGGAACUUGAUUUUAUGGAAGAUGCAGAAGGAGGGAAAUGGUCUGGUUUAGAUAAAGAAGUGAUGCUUCUACAUCACAAUACCUAAAUAAUUCUUUCACUAAUUUUAAAAACUGUAAAAUUUUUUGUUUUGUUAUACAUUGAUUUUUGUAAAUAACUUGAAAAUAUUACUCUAAUAAUUGUUUAGGUUUUGUAAUAUACUGAUUAUUGUAAAUAUUACUCAGAUACUUUGUAAAUGUUAUUGCUGAAUAUUUAAGAUAGAUUAAUAUAAACCUAGCUUAUAUAAUAUAUUUUCACCUUUAUAAUGUAUAGUUUGUAAAUGUAACAUAUUAUAAACUUUUAAUAGGUACCUAUUUAUUUUUAAAUGUAUAAUUUUUAAAUAUUCUGUAAGUAUACCGUAUCAGUAUGAUUUUGUUAGAUAUUUAAGAUAGAUUAAAGUAUAAACUUGAAAUAUUAUUUUUUAUUUUACUCCCUUUAUAAUGUAUACUUUAUAUAUAUCCAUGUAAAUAUAUAAUAUUUAUUUUUAUAAUUUAUAAUUUGCAAAUAGCUCUACCAGGUUAAACUGCAAAUAGCCACGUAAUUGCUAGAUAUUUAAGAUAGUUUACAAUGUACCUACCUGUAGUCUACUAGUAUCUUUUUAACUAGGGUAGGUAUUCAAGCCUUCAAUAUUCAACAUAUUGUUGUCUCCUAAGAAUAAAACAUUUUUCUCCCUAUUUUGACAUUAUUUAGCUAUGUGGGCUUCAUUAUUUAAUUUUGUUUAUUUAUAUUUUGCUAGUCUAGUCUAGUUUUCUAUUUUGGCCAAAGCAUUACCACCCGACUUAUGACUGUCAUGUCCAAUAAAUUGUAUUAUAAAGUCUAAAGAAAAGUAUAUUAUAUCCCUCAUUUGCUACAGACAGUGGCAUAGCCAUGAAUUUUCUUUGGUGUGGGCUGAUAAUGUGUUUACAUAGAUUUUCACUAUCUUGUGGAUUUUAGUAAAGUUUAGUCUAGUAAAGUUUUGUCCAUCAACAGAUUAGCUAACAAAAUAAAGAUAACAAUUAAAAAUCAGUAAAAUAAUAUUCCCAAAAUGAUCAAUGAGGUAGUCUUACCCCACGGUUAAUAAACAAGUAUACUGACCGUAGCCUAAAGUCUUACCUGCCUACAAUUAGGAUAUCAGUAUAAUAAUAUUAAUAUCAUAUUAUUAAUAGACAUAACAUUUGUUAGCUACCUUUAGGUACUCGUCACAUUGUCACGUGCAAUAUCAUUUGACUUCACCUAUAUUCAUAUUGAAUUAUUUUAUCUCGAAUACCGGAAUACCUACAUUUUCAAUACCUAUAUGGCUAUCGGUAUUAUAUUUUUCGAUUAAUUUGACAAUGUACGACAGAAAUAUUUUUUAAAUUUAAUUUAAAAAUUAUAAUUGCGUAGACAGAAUCUCAUCACCGAGCCCGUAAAAGUGCUUAUAAGAAAAAUAUUAUUAUUGUCCCCAGUGUGGAAUCUAGACAAUUUUUCUGAGGGGGGCUUACUUUUGUUUCGUUUGGAAAAGUCUGUAGAUAGUACCUACUACCUAUAGGUACUGGAAAAACGGUAUAUUUUAGACUUUAGUAAACAUCAUUAGGUGUGGUAAUCGUAAUGACUAAUGAUUAUUGUGCAUUUAAUAAAUAGGUACAUUUUAUUAAAAAUUGUAUUUGUCAGGGAGAAGAAAGUCAUUUCAAUGGAGUGCAUUUGCCCCUCUACUAUAGUAUACCUAGAUUGAACACUGAUUGUCCCGAAAUCGUCAAAACAAAUAAAAAAAUUUAUCCACCACGUACAAAUAAUAAAAUGGCAAUUUUUUUUGUGCAUCUACGUAGGGAUUUUAAUAUGUCGUCAUUAUUCUGUAAUAUGGGUUUUGAAUAUAUGCAAAUAUGUAAUAUGAAUGCGGUGUAGCACACAUGCCACGUGGUGUCGUAUUAUAAGUAUGUAAAUAAACGAUGAAAGACUUACGAGUAUUUCCAGCCAUGUAUACUAUAGUGAUAUAUUAAUAUGAAUAUUUUUUCUGGUUGGCUAUUCCGAAUAGCAAAAAAAUGCUAAAAUCGUUUUAAAUGCCCAGUUAGGUAACUACCCUCUUGUGUUUCCAUUAUUUUAAAAACAGAUUUAAAAGUCAUCAACUUUUAGCUUUCCGAGUUAUUCACCCAAAAACAUCAAAUACGUCGUAGGCUGCUGAGCGUUUUGGUCCAGUAUAAACCGUUUUGGUGGCAUAAAUGUUAUAUAAUGCUAAUAUGGUAUAACAUGGAUAUUUAAUGGUCGGGGUCGACCUGCUGCAGUCACUGUGACUUGAAUAAUUUUCUUUUUAUACGCUACCAAUAACAUAUCUGCGAUGAAAUAGGUCGUGCGGUUAUAAUAUUAUGAGUUUAUGACUUAUGAGUUUAUGAUACACAACUAAAUUGUUAGAAAUUCCUACUGACUUCUAGUUUUACUACUGUCGGAUAUCCGUUACAACAUUACAAGGUUUAUCAGCGUUAAUGGCAUUUAUCGGGUAAUUAUUAAACGUUAUGGUGUUAAAACAUGGUAAAUUCGAGUGCAUGUGCCAAUUUAAAUGGUUAUAGACAUACCCUACCAUUUAUGAGCAUUACUUUUACUGUCACGUCGUUUUAGCUUUAAGAUUAACUCCAUGAUAUGCAAAAAAACUCCACGAUUAUCAUAUUUUAUACGAUGAUCAAAGUUUUAAAAGGGUUAUACAGUGUACUCUUGGUAAUUCGAAGCUCAUCAGGGAAAAAAAAUUCGACUUACCUACUAAAAAUUUCAAGUUAUCAAAAUCAUAAUAUGUUAUUGUUAUUAGAAGGGGAAUUUUAUUUGUUCGAGUUGUCGAGAAUGUUGAGUUAUUAAGGUUCGAGUUACCGAGAGUAUACACUGUAAUAUCUUUCGGUAUACAAUUUAAAAUGAAUAUAUUCACUGAAUCCGUAAAUAUCCAUAAAUGUCAAUAUAAAAUAUAAAAAUUUUAUCUAGGUACCAAACUAACUAAACAAAUAUGUUUCGUAAUUAAUAAUCAUGAAGCUAAACAAAAUCAAUCAUAUACAAUAUUAUUGCAUUGUUAAUUAUCAAGUGUGAUACAAUAUUUUACUGAGUAGUUCUAUUCAAAAUCCUGUUUUAUUUAUUUUCAUAAGAAGUUUUAUCGUAUACUAGCUGAUCCCGUGCACUUCGUUGCUCGUUAAAUGUACCAACUCUAUAUGACUCAAACUUUGUUCAGUUCGUAAUUUAAUAUCCGGAGUAUGGUGUUCAAAAUUUACCUUAAUUUUUACGUUGCCCGGAAUAAAAAUUCUGGUUCGCAGUGGUAUAUUAUCUGCAUGUAGGCAAUUUACCUGCUGUAGGUCACGGAUCCCGUGCUGUUUGUACGUAAGUGUAUGAUUUAACUCUAAAGUAUCAAAGUUAUACCAAGUUUGUC